AGGAUGACCAGCCACACUGGAACUGAGACACGGUCCAGACUCCUACGGGAGGCAGCAGUGGGGAAUAUUGCACAAUGGGCGCAAGCCUGAUGCAGCCAUGCCGCGUGUGUGAAGAAGGCCUUCGGGUUGUAAAGCACUUUCAGCGAGGAGGAAGGUGGUGAGUUUAAUACGCUCAUCAAUUGACGUUACUCGCAGAAGAAGCACCGGCUAACUCCGUGCCAGCAGCCGCGGUAAUACGGAGGGUGCAAGCGUUAAUCGGAAUUACUGGGCGUAAAGCGCACGCAGGCGGUUUGUUAAGUCAGAUGUGAAAUCCCCGGGCUCAACC
rnacentral:rRNA from 1 species